rnacentral:rRNA from 1 species
GGUGAGUAGCGAACCGAAAGGGGAGCGACCCGUCAAAUCGGGCCAUCACAC